AGUUAAGCGUUAUGUAUGAGCGUCUUUUUAUAACGGUAGUUUCAACCGUUAUAUAUGAGCGUAUUUCAGUGUUAUGUAUAAACAUCAUUUUUUUCUUUUUAUCAAUUUUUAUCAAUUACUGUAAACUCUCUCUCUCGUCUUCCUCCCAAAUCCCACGGCGCUCCAACCCACCAAAAUCCUAACUCUCUCUCUCGUCUCUCUCCUUCGGAGGACGUCGCCGGUCCUCGCCUUCUCCGUCGCGGCGAGGCCGACCCCUCUCUUCCCCCUCUUUCUUUCUUCCCUUCCCUACAUCUAAAUCCCUAAAUUAAAAAAAAAUAGAUCUAGGGCUUCCUAGCUUCAAUUUAUGUUCUCCAGUUAGUUCCGCCACUGCCGCCAGUCUCCGUCGCACCACCGCCACCUUCGUCUCAAUUGGCAGCCACCGCGGACCGCCGUGGCGCGCGCAGCGCCGGCGGUUGCCGCCGCCAGCCCCGCCCCGCCGCAUUGGCUCGCGGCUGUUGCUGUUGUCCUCUUCUUCUUCUUCUUCUUCUUCUUCUUCUUCUUCUUCUUCUUCUUCUUCUUCUUCUUCUUCUUCUUCUUCUUCUUCUUCUUUUCUUUUGCUGUUUUUCUUUUCUGGUGCAAAUAAGGUACAAAAUUGGAAGGAUUGUGAGGGAAAUACAGCUCUGCAUAUUGCAAUCGCUGAUAAGCAUCUUCAGGAAUUUCUCAGGAAUCCAGACAAGUAUAUAAAGCUUGGUGCACGACCUCCUAGAGGUGUUCUCUUGAUAGAUGCUGUAGCCAAGAGCCGUGAUGGUAGAUUCCGUAUUGUGAGUAAUGAUGAGCGUGAACAGACCUUAAAUCAGCUUCUCACUGUUUGUGGUGGUGGAUUAAAUGAGCCGUACGUUGAGCUGAAGAGGCUUGUGAAUUCACAAGAAAAGUUAUACCAGAUGGCUUAGAUAGUUGCAUAUUUAAUAUAUUUAGUAUUUUUGUAAGGCAUAAUAGUAUUAGAUAGAGCAUUUGUUGAAUUUUGACUAUAUUCAAAUGAUGUAUGAAUUCUUUUUUUAUGAUAAUAAUAUAUGGAUUUUCAAUAUUUUGUUUUAGAA